rnacentral:rRNA from 1 species
AUUGAACGCUGGCGGCAUGCCUUACACAUGCAAGUCGAACGGUAACAGGUCUUCGGAUGCUGACGAGUGGCGAACGGGUGAGUAAUACAUCGGAACGUGCCCGAUCGUGGGGGAUAACGAAGCGAAAGCUUUGCUAAUACCGCAUACGAUCUACGGAUGAAAGCAGGGGACCGCAAGGCCUUGCGCGAACGGAGCGGCCGAUGGCAGAUUAGGUAGUUGGUGGGAUAAAAGCUUACCAAGCCGACGAUCUGUAGCUGGUCUGAGAGGACGACCAGCCAAACUGGGACUGGGACACGGCCCAGACUCCUACGGGAGGCAGCAGUGGGGAAUUUUGGACAAUGGGCGAAAGCCUGAUCCAGCCAUGCCGCGUGCAGGAUGAAGGCCUUCGGGUUGUAAACUGCUUUUGUACGGAACGAAAAGACUCUGGUUAAUACCUGGGGUCCAUGACGGUACCGUAAGAAUAAGCACCGGCUAACUACGUGCCAGCAGCCGCCGUAA